rnacentral:rRNA from 1 species
AUUGAACGCUGGCGGCAUGCUUUACACAUGCAAGUCGAACGGCAGCGCGGGCUUCGGCCUGGCGGCGAGUGGCGAACGGGUGAGUAAUGCAUCGGAACGUGCCCAGUAGUGGGGGAUAGCCCGGCGAAAGCCGGAUUAAUACCGCAUACGACCUGAGGGUGAAAGCGGGGGACCGAAAGGCCUCGCGCUAUUGGAGCGGCCGAUGUCGGAUUAGCUAGUUGGUGGGGUAAAGGCUUACCAAGGCGACGAUCCGUAGCUGGUCUGAGAGGACGACCAGCCACACUGGGACUGAGACACGGCCCAGACUCCUACGGGAGGCAUCAGUGGGGAAUUUUGGACAAUGGGGGCAACCCUGAUCCAGCCAUGCCGCGUGCGGGAAGAAGGCCUUCGGGUUGUAAACCGCUUUUGUUCGGGAAGAAAUCCUCUGGGCUAAUACCCCGGGGGGAUGACGGUACCGGAAGAAUAAGCACCGGCUAACUACGUG